ACAGGUUCCAAGAUGGCGGACACAUUUGAACCCUAUUAUCGUGAACUCGAGAUGGACUUCGGUGAUGGCCAACUUGUGACAUUCAAUGUGGAUUUACCGACGUAUAAUGCUGUUCAGAGAAAGGACCAAGACAUAAUACAGAAUUUGAAAAGGAUCGACAUACUUGGAAAUAUCAUCGGCUGAUCAAGAAGAUGUUUUUGCUGUUAAGUCUAAGUCAU